UACGGAGGGUGCGAGCGUUGUUCGGAAUUACUGGGCGUAAAGCGCGUGCAGGCGGCCGACUAAGUCAGGUGUGAAAGCCCGGGGCUCACCUCCGGAAGUGCGCUUGAAACUAGUCGGCUAGAGUACGGGAGAGGGAAGCGGAAUUCCUGGUGUAGCGGUGAAAUGCGUAGAUAUCAGGAGGAACACCGGCGGCGAAGGCGGCUUCCUGGACCGAUACUGACGCUGAGACGCGAAAGCGUGGGGAGCAAACAGG
rnacentral:rRNA from 1 species